rnacentral:lncRNA from 1 species
CCAUACCACUUUUUCCCCACUCAUCUAAUAACACUCACAUAGCAAAGCAUUAGGAUUAGACACACUAGAAAAUAACCCAGGAAAGCUGGACUUCACGGGACCAUUGCUUAUCCACUUUGUGAUGCCAAAACGACACCAAUGUACCAUUCCCCACACACCAUCAAAUAUCCCAGUGAAUAUUGCCUUUGCAUAAAAAAAAUCUCUUUCCAGAACACCAAGCAGACAUCACUUCCAUAUCUCCCUUUAAUCCAAAC